rnacentral:rRNA from 1 species
UACGUAGGGUGCGAGCGUUGUCCGGAAUUAUUGGGCGUAAAGAGCUCGUAGGCGGUUUGUCGCGUCGACUGUGAAAACCUACAGCUUAACUGUGGGCUUGCAGUCGAUACGGGCAGACUUGAGUUCGGUAGGGGAGACUGGAAUUCCUGGUGUAGCGGUGAAAUGCGCAGAUAUCAGGAGGAACACCGGUGGCGAAGGCGGGUCUCUGGGCCGUAACUGACGCUGAGGAGCGAAAGCAUGGGGGAGCGAACAGG